AGUAAUACAUGUACUUUUAUUGACUCAUUUCAUGUCAAACCAAUGUGGAGUGAAGUUUUCUCUAUAUUUUCACAAUAAUGCUUUUUUCAAGGUCUGAAUCAUAUUGUGAAUUUUUUUUUAUUUUUUUAUAUCAAAAUGGAUGAUGGCUGUUUAUGAUAUGACUUGAUAUUGUUUGUUGUAAAUUGAAUUGUUUCUGUUCUAAAUUCUUUCUUUUUUUUACAAAGGAAGAUAAACAUACUGUAGUCAUUCCAUCUGUUAAGAAAGUCAAUUUUUAAAUGCCUUAAUUUCCUCACAAUUGAUAUUAAGUUUUCUUUGUGAUGACUUUAACUACUCCAAAACAAUUUUUUGAGAAUUUGAGAGAUUAUCUAAAAAAAAAUAAUUCUCCGAUCUGUUAGACCAACUGCAUUUUUACCUGUCAAAUUCUUUGGAAAGCCCCUCCUUCUUUUUCCUGGUAUAAUGUUUAUGAUUUUGAUGAAAUACACGUUGCCAUUCAUGUAUAUAAUGAUCUGUUGUUUGUCUUAUAGACUACUGGAUAAAGGAUCUGUAGAAAUUGUGAUUGUUAAACUUGGUGCCAUUUCUUGACACAGGAUGAAUUUGAUUUUUUUUAAUCAUGUAAAUAAAUAAUUUUUGUAAAAAGUCAUACAUAUCCCUCUGAGUUGUAAUGUGAGAAAUUCGUUAUUCAAUAAAAUCUUUUUUAACCAUAUUUCAUUCCUGCAUUUACCAGUGCUGUUAAAAGUAUAUUCAACAUGGCACUGAAUUUAAUGUAUGAAAUAACCGAUUGCUUAAUUUUUGUUGUUGACAUUUUAAAAUCAGGGAUACAUUUCAAGCGUUUUUUGUAUAUAUACAUCAAAAGAUAUUAUCAAGAGUCUCAGAAGCUUAUUUAUUAAGUAUCCUCCAGAGUCUCAGCUCUCUACAUAUACAAUCUAUUGUUUUUACACUCUAUAUCUGGUAUAUUCACAUUAGUGUUUAUGUGUAUGGUUGGAAAAUGUUGUAAAUGUAUGAUGUAUGGGGAACAAUGUUUUUGCUGUUUUAAACAUGUUAUGUGUUUCAUGUACCAACAAUUAGAUCUGUAUAUCAUCCCUAUUGUUUCUUGAAUUUUCUUACUUUGGAGUUUUUGCUACCCAGGUUUAUGACAUUUGCAAGUGAUUUUUUUUUAGAUCUUUAGAUAGAGAGAAUGAGGUCUAUAACCCGUUAGCAUAAUGAGAGUACAUGUAGUGUGCAGAAAGAGAAUAUGCCAAAAACUGUAAAAGCUAUAGUCUCGAAUAAUGACAACCACCAGUAUUCUUUCUAUUAAUUUGAAACUUGUUUUAAAAAGCUUAAUGAAAUUGAAAAAAAAAGAAUAUAUUUUCCAUUUUUAUGGAUGAAAGAUUAUAGUUCUUUUCAAGACUCAAAAAAGGGAAAAAGGACAUAGGAAUAUGAUUUUCAGGGUAUUGAAUAUGAAUAAAAAAAACCAGAUAUUCUAUUGUGCAGAUUUAACAUUGUAUACAAAUUCCAUCAUUCAAUUAAUCUGUUUAUUUUGGUAGAAAAAAUUCUAACUGAUUCAUAGUCACCACAAGAAGUUCAAACAGAUCAGUAUUAUAGGGUCUUUUGUCUAGCUAUUGUACCGGUUGCUGCUUCUAGUCUUGCAAUGGUGUAGUUGCUAAUGGGCUUCUUGUGCGUAUUCAAUGUGCCUUAUGUUGGGGUGCAAGGUAAAUGAUCUUCCAAUAAUUCCUCACAUAAUGACAAAAGCUGUGCACUUGUGUUUGUCUAUAAAGUUUAUGUGAACUUAACAGUUUUAGCAAAUGUAAAGAAUAUUUCUGACAUUGCUAGAAUUGCGCUUAAAAUCAUAUAGAAGCUUGCAUUUUUCAUUGAAUAUCAAUACAUUGAUAUUUGUUGUAUGACAGUAUGUGAGGAUAAAAGACAUGUACUUGAUUAGGAUUUACUCUAUUUUAUUUUUAUCAAAUUGAUUGAAGGUGUUGAAAAAGAUUCCGUAGAAAUCAAUUAGACCUUUAUCAGAUCUUCGGAAAACUUUCUCUAAUUUCAUUUUUUCAAGGAAAUAAUAGACUUGUAUAGACAUGAAUUUUUAAUGUUUCAGCCAGUUGUUUACAAAGAGGUGUUGAUGAUCUGUUUCUGAUAUUACCUAUAGUCUAUAAAAGAAUUGUCAAUUUUUUGUUAAACUUUUUUAGAGGAAGCUUAACGAUUUUCUACCAGUGUGGUAAUAAUUUUGUAUAUACAUGUAUUCAGAAACGCUGUGGGAAGUUGAUUGAUUGAAUGUGUUCUUAUUAAAAUAGUUCGUAGAGAGGGAUGAUAUGAAAUAUUUUUAAGCAAUGCAACUUUUAUGUUAUAUGUAUUAUGUAGGCAUUUAGCUAGCUGGUAGCUAACAGUGCAUGGAAAAGAUCUGUCAUUAAUAAUGGAUGAUUCUUUUACUGCUCGUAUUUGUAAAUAUGUGUUGACCAAAGUUAUAAGUAUCUUGUAGAUGAGGUGUGGAAGUGCUUUAUACUGCGUUGAAAUACUUGCUGUUUUACAGACAUCUGGCGUUGUGGGAUGACUGCAAUCUAUCAUUUGAUGUAUUUUUCUUUUUACCAAAUAGUAGUAUUUAUUUUUUAGUAGGUUUGACAUUGUACUUGCAUUUCUUUGUAACUGUAAGAAGUACAUGUACUUUGCGUAAUCAUGGCAUAAUUAUUUUUCUUAAACGAAAAAAAUGAACAAAAC
rnacentral:sRNA from 1 species